CCUACGGGUGGCAGCAGUGAGGAAUAUUGGUCAAUGGACGAGAGUCUGAACCAGCCAAGUAGCGUGAAGGAUGACUGCCCUAUGGGUUGUAAACUUCUUUUAUAUGGGAAUAAAAUGUUCCACGUGUGGGAUUUUGUAUGUACCAUAUGAAUAAGGAUCGGCUAACUCCGUGCCAGCAGCCGCGGUAAUACGGAGGACCCGAGCGUUAUCCGGAUUUAUUGGGUUUAAAGGGAGCGUAGGUGGAUUGUUAAGUCAGUUGUGAAAGUUUGCGGCUCAACCGUAAAAUUGCAGUUGAAACUGGCAGUCUUGAGUACAGUAGAGGUGGGCGGAAUUCGUGGUGUAGCGGUGAAAUGCUUAGAUAUCACGAAGAACUCCGAUUGCGAAGGCAGUUCACUGGACUGCAACUGACACUGAGGCUCGAAAGUGUGGGUAUCAAACAGGAUUAGAUACCCUAGUAGUC
rnacentral:rRNA from 1 species